AUUGAACGCUGGCGGCAUGCCUUACACAUGCAAGUCGAACGGUAACAGGUCUUCGGAUGCUGACGAGUGGCGAACGGGUGAGUAAUACAUCGGAACGUGCCUAGUAGUGGGGGAUAACUACUCGAAAGAGUGGCUAAUACCGCAUGAGAUCUACGGAUGAAAGCAGGGGAUCGCAAGACCUUGUGCUACUAGAGCGGCCGAUGGCAGAUUAGGUAGUUGGUGGGAUAAAAGCUUACCAAGCCGACGAUCUGUAGCUGGUCUGAGAGGACGUUCAGCCACGCUGGGACUGAGACACGGCCCAGACUCCUACGGGAGGCAGCAGUGGGGAAUUUUGGGCAAUGGGCGCAAGCCUGAUCCAGCAAUGCCGCGUGCAGGAUGAAGGCCUUCGGGUUGUAAACUGCUUUUGUACGGAACGAAAAGCCCUGGGUUAAUACCCUGGGGUCAUGACGGUACCGUAAGAAUAAGCACCGGCUAACUACGUGCCAGCAGCCGCCGUAAAAC
rnacentral:rRNA from 1 species